rnacentral:ncRNA from 1 species
GUCUCAGGGCGGGGUGAAAUUCCCCACCGGUGGUGACAGUCCACGAGCGCGGGCAGUGCUGCCCGGUCAGCAGAAUCGGUGUGAUUCCGAUACCGACGGUUAAAGUCCGGAAGAAAGAGCG